rnacentral:rRNA from 1 species
UACAGAGACUGCGAGCGUUAUUCGGAUUCACUGGGCGUAAAGGGUGCGCAGGCGGCCAAGUGUGUGAGGCGUGAAAGCCUGGAGCUUAACUCCAGAAUUGCACCUCAAACUACUUGGCUAGAGCAUUGGAGAGGGUAGCGGAAUUCACGGUGUAGCAGUGAAAUUCGUAGAUAUCAAGCGGAACACCGGUGGCGAAGGCGGCCUUCUGGACAGUGACUGACGCUGAGACGCGAAAGCGUGGGGAGCAAACAGG